AAGAUUUCUAAAUCCAGAUGACAAUAUACAAACGAAGAUUGUGAAAAUUCAAUGAAUUCAAUUUUUUCUCGAAACAGAAGGAGAUACGAGAAGCGAGUGGUUGACUCCACUCAGUAUAGGUGACUCUUCAACGAGAUGGUCUACGUUUCAGAACUUGGCAGACGGAAAUGCGGGUAAUGAUUCGGAGAAAACUGUGCCAGAUGAAUCAACAGACUAUACCGCACCAUCUUCAGAAUUACUUUCAAUAAGAAUCGUGAGUGAUUUCAAAGAAAACCAUAUAUAUGGAAAAGAAAAAAGGCUGUAAAUCAAUUACAAAAAAAGCUUCUAAAUAAACGCAAAUCAGAAAAGAAACGACAAAU